rnacentral:rRNA from 1 species
CUGUGCAAAGGUAGCAUAAUCAUUAGCUUUUUAAUUGAAGGCUUGUAUGAAGGGUCUGACAAAGAAAAAGCUGUCUUUAAAAUUAUUUUUGAAUUUAACUUUUAAGUGAAAAGGCUUAAAUAAAUUUAAGGGACGAUAAGACCCUAUAAAUCUUUAUAUUAUAUUAUUAUUCUGAAUUUUAAUAUUUGUUUAGAUUGUUAGGUAUAAUAAUAAAUAUUUUGUUGGGGUGACGAGAAUAUAAAAAUAACUGUUCUUAAAGGAAACAAAGUUAUUUGUUGAAAAAUUAUAGAUCCUUUUUAAAGAUUAAAAGUUUAAGUUACUUUAGGGAUAACAGCGUUAUUUUUUUUGAGAGUUCUUAUCGAAAAAAGAGUUUGCGACCUCGAUGUUGAAUUAAAAUUUCUCUACGGUGUAGAAGUUGUAGAAGAGAGUCUGUUCGACUUUUGAAAUUUU